GAUGAACGCUGGCUACAGGCUUAACACAUGCAAGUCGAGGGGAAACGACGGGGAAGCUUGCUUCCCCGGGCGUCGACCGGCGCACGGGUGAGUAACGCGUAUCCAACCUGCCUCUGACUGAGGGAUAACCCGUCGAAAGUCAGCCUAAUACCUCAUGGCAUCGUCUGCGGGCAUCCAACGACGAUUAAAGAUUUCAUCGGUCAGAGAUGGGGAUGCGUCUGAUUAGCUUGUUGGCGGGGUAACGGCCCACCAAGGCGACGAUCAGUAGGGGUUCUGAGAGGAAGGUCCCCCACAUUGGAACUGAGACACGGUCCAAACUCCUACGGGAGGCAGCAGUGAGGAAUAUUGGUCAAUGGGCGAGAGCCUGAACCAGCCAAGUAGCGUGCAGGAUGACGGCCCUAUGGGUUGUAAACUGCUUUUAUGCGGGGAUAAAGUGAGGGACGUGUCCUUCAUUGCAGGUACCGCAUGAAUAAGGACCGGCUAAUUCCGUG
rnacentral:rRNA from 1 species